rnacentral:rRNA from 1 species
AGAGUUUGAUCAUGGCUCAGAGUGAACGCUGGCGGCGUGCUUAACACAUGCAAGUCGAGCGAAUUCUGGCAGCGUAUCGCCAGAGUUAGCGGCAGACGGGUGAGUAAUACUUGGGUAAUCUACCCUUGAGUGGGAAACAACCUGCCGAAGGGCGGGCUAAUGUCCCAUAAGACCACAGGAUGGCAUCAUCCAGGGGUCAAAGCUCCGCAAGGGGCGCUUUUGGAGGAACCCGAGUCCUAUCAUGGUAGUUGGUGAGGUAAUGGCUCACCAAGCCUUUGACGGGUAGCCGGCCUGAAAGGGUGAUCGGCCACACUGGCACUGAGACACGGGCCAGACUCCUACGGGAGGCAGCAGUGGGGAAUUUUGGACAAUGGGGGCAACCCUGAUCCAGCGACGCCGCGUGAAGGACGAAGGUCUUCGGAUUGUAAACUUCUUUUGAAGGGGAUGAAUGUUCUGGUGAAUAGCCAGACGUGACAGUACUCUUCGAAUAAGCCACGGCUAACUACGUGCCAGCAGCCGCGGUAAUACGUAGGUGGCAAGCGUUACUCGGAAUCACUAGGCGUAAAGCGCAGGUAGGCGGUUCGGUAAGUCUUUUGUGAAAGCUCCUGGCUCAACUGGGAGAGGUCAAAGGAAACUACCGGGCUAGAGUGUGGUAGGGGAUACUGGAAUUCCUGGUGUAGCGGUGAAAUGCGUAGAUAUCAGGAGGAAUACCUAUGGCGAAAGCAGGUAUCUGGGCCAUCACUGACGCUGAGCUGCGAAAGCUAGGGGAGCAAACAGGAUUAGAUACCCUAGUAGUCC